GACGAACGCUGGCGGCGUGCUUAACACAUGCAAGUCGAACGCUGAAGCUCAGCUUUUGUUGGGUGGAUGAGUGGCGAACGGGUGAGCAACACGUGAGUAACCUGCCCCCUUCUUUGGGAUAACGCCCGGAAACGGGUGCUAAUACUGGAUAUUCACUGGUCUUCGCAUGGGGGUUGGUGGAAAGGGUUUUUCUGGUGGGGGAUGGGCUCGCGGCCUAUCAGCUUGUUGGUGGGGUGAUGGCCUACCAAGGCUUUGACGGGUAGCCGGCCUGAGAGGGUGACCGGUCACAUUGGGACUGAGAUACGGCCCAGACUCCUACGGGAGGCAGCAGUGGGGAAUAUUGCACAAUGGGCGCAAGCCUGAUGCAGCGACGCCGCGUGAGGGAUGGAGGCCUUCGGGUUGUGAACCUCUUUCGCUCAUGGUCAAGCCGCAACAAUGGUUGUGGUGAGGGUAGUGGGUAAAGAAGCGCCGGCUAACUACGUG
rnacentral:rRNA from 1 species